GAAUAGAGGAAGAAAAGGCUGAGAGAGCCAGGAUCCCUCCACUGCCAUGCCGCCCUAGUGCUAAGUAGUCAUGGCUCUAUGAUCAUUUUUUCUGACCCCAAUAGCUAACCAAGACAACUCAUCAUGCAUGUUCCCUUUCAAAACUUUCUUAGCUGUGCUGUGCUCUCUUCUAAUUCAUUUCACUGUGCAUCUCUCGUACCCUUUCUUUAAUUCACUGUUACACAAGAUGGGUUAUGUCUCUCAACACCUUCCCCCUUCUCUCCUUUUACAUUUUUCACUUCUUCUAUAUAUACUCUACUACACCACUGUGUGUUUUGACAUUACAGACUUUAGUUUUAUCGUCUCUGGCCCUUAGUUUAUAUCCCUUUGUGUAUCUAAUCUUCCACCUAUUCAUCUCGUUGUUUUCUUCUGCCUCACAAGUUUGGAAUGAAACCAAACCAAUCUUGUCCUUUCACCACCUAGAGUUUUCCUUCCCGUCCUCUUAAUUCUCCUUCAUAUAGCUUAUUUUAACUGCAUGGCUUUUACAGUGUACUACAGUACAUUAUUCACCUCCAGCAUUCAAAGUGUAUGAUCUACAUUCCUCCGUUUGUCUUUUGUGGUUCCAUGUGUUUCUUUUCUGUACAACCAGAUGUAAGUGGUGAACUCGGAGAUUACAAUGUUGAGGUGAAAUAAAGGGUCACAAAGGAAAAAGUGAAGCUGCCAGCAUGAUCUAGCUUUGGUUAGUGGGAGCGAGAGAGUGCUAACCCUCACUAGGUCAUGCUGUGCUAGCCUCACUCCUUCCUAUUUGGAGACCAAUAUAUUCCUAACAAUCUCAAAGAUACGAACCUUGCUAUCUACCUAAAAGUAAAAGGCACGCAUAGUCUAUUCUUCUUUCUGCGUUUCAAUCAUGAUUGGUGUCGGGAAGUCUUUGCAUUUAGCGUUCCAACCAACAAAUUAAACGAAAUGUGUGUUGCUCAUUUGAAGUACCCCAAAACAUGGAGCUGGAGAUCUGCACAAGUUUUAUAUAUUAAUUAGCUUGGGACUUGACGCUAGGGGAUGUUCUUUUUGUAACGGUUUUGUUGUGCUUUUAAACAAUGUCAAGUGCGUUUAGCAGUUGCAUGACAUCUUUGAACAUCGUAAUAUAUAACUGCAUAGAUAGUAUUCAUUUGUAUAUCAUAGAGAAUAGAACUUGCAAUUUAGAUUUACGUCAAUAGUUUUUAUUUGAAGUCUUAUUUUAAUGCAUUGUUAUUAUUUAAUUUCUUAAGCUCUUUUUUUGAAAUGUUAUUAACAUGAAUUGUUGUACAUAAAUAACAUUGAAAUCCUAAUGCUGCAACUAUGUGAUGUGAACUGUGCAGAUUUUCUGUAUAGCGCAAGAAUUUGAGCCGUGCAUGGCACAAUUAAUUUUUUGUUCUUUCUGUAUGGUGGGGGUUUGUGAUUGUCGGUGCAUGUUUGGAAGUACAAUUUCCACUGGAGAAUUCGCGUUAUUUUUUUUCUCUGUAUUUGAGUGAUUCUAACAGUGUACACAACAAGGGCGAAAAAGGAUCUUAUGAUUAAUAUUAGUACUAGAUUGUAUUCAUUAAUUACGCUUAGUUUUUAUUUUCCUCUCGGAAUGUACUAGAAUGAGUCUGGCCUUAAUGUCUUUUAUAUUUUAUUCAUCUUGUACUACAA